rnacentral:rRNA from 1 species
ACUGAACGCUGGCGGCAUGAUUUACACAUGCAAGUCGAACGGUAACAGGCCGCAAGGUGCUGACGAGUGGCGAACGGGUGAGUAAUGCAUCGGAACGUGCCCAGUCGUGGGGGAUAACUACUCGAAAGAGUAGCUAAUACCGCAUACGAUCUAUGGAUGAAAGCGGGGGACCGUAAGGCCUCGCGCGAUUGGAGCGGCCGAUGUCAGAUUAGGUAGUUGGUGGGGUAAAGGCUCACCAAGCCAACGAUCUGUAGCUGGUCUGAGAGGACGACCAGCCACACUGGGACUGAGACACGGCCCAGACUCCUACGGGAGGCAGCAGUGGGGAAUUUUGGACAAUGGGCGCAAGCCUGAUCCAGCAAUGCCGCGUGCAGGAAGAAGGCCUUCGGGUUGUAAACUGCUUUUGUACGGAACGAAACGGCUCUGGUUAAUACCCGGGGCUAAUGACGGUACCGGAAGAAUAAGCACCGGCUAACUACGUG